CGUAUCUUUUGUCUGUUGUAUUUUUUGCAAAUCUUGCAAAAUAUAUGCAUUUUUUUUUGUAAAUGCAGUCUUUACCUACAGUGUAAGUAGCUGUAAACAGCUAAAUAUACUGUAGGUAAAGCUAGAGUCUACACUGUAUAUAAAGUGAAUUACAUGUUACAUACUUAUUAUAUAUUUCAAUUUUUAGUUUCAAUAGUAUGUUUUAUUAUAGUAAAACAUACUUACUACAGGUACCUAAUCAAUAUUGUUACAUAUUCAAUAGUUGAUAAUUAUAUUGUUAAACACACCUUGCGUGUGGUAUGUUGGCGCUCGCACUCGCGUCUCGUCCACCUGGACCACUUUGGGAAUUUAUGGUCUAACCGAUUUUACAAACACAUUUGGGGCGGCCGCUGUCCUUUGUCGGUAAACUGACCGACGAAACAAUAGCGUAAUACUCAUUAUUUUUCCAGUAAAAAUAGGUAAAAAUAGCCAUUUAUUACUGAGCAAUUUAUUGGUAGGUACCGCAGCGGUAAGUUCUAAGCUCCAUGUACAAUGUCGAUAAACAUUUUAUUGUUAAAUAUUUUGUUUUUGUUGUAAUAUUUAACUUGCCGACAUUAUUUUGUCUGUUGUAAUCUUGCACGUAUUUCUUGCAAAUCUUUUACCUCCGCCGCUACAGUACCUACAUUGGCUACAGUAGAGGUAUUUAUAAAAAAAAAUGUAAACAUUUAUUUAUAAUUUUAUCCUAGUUAGCUAUUUUAUUUAAGUUCAAAGUGACAUUUAAGAUAAUAAUUAGGUCGCCGUUAUAACAUUUUGUAUCGUUAACAGGAAUGUUGAAGAUACAAAAUGUUAUAUAGGCUGUAUGGUCAACGAUCUUUGCCUGUCCCCGAAAUGUUGUUGGGGACAAAUUAAAAAAAAAACAUACAAACGUCUAAGUUGUCAAUUGUCAUUGUACGAAUGUAGUAAUUUACUCUGUGUCUGACGUCUGUUUUGUAUCUGUCCGCCGCGCAAAUUUUUUUCCGGUCGUGCGUUGAAGCGCAAUACAAGCAAAUUUUUUCAACUUGCUGAUUAAAAAUAAGGAGAGCUGCUCUAUCAUUUUUUUUUUAACUGUUGGACGACGCCAUUUAUAUAAAUAAUGCACCGCGAAGAAAGCCGGCGGGAGGUCGUGCCAGCGAUGCGCGACGAGCGCGACAUCGGUCGGCCCGUCGCGCUCCCGCCCAAAAAUGGUCAAUUUGCAAAUAAAAAUGCCCGCCUCAGGAGCUUCGAAGGCUGGCCGCAAAACAUGCGCCAGACGCCGGAGGAGCUUGCUGAGGCAGGCUUUUUUUAUACGGGAAACGAGGACGCAGUUCUAUGCUUCCACUGUGAUGGGGGCUUAAAAGGGUGGAAGAGGGGGGACCAACCCUGGGCCCAACAUGCCCAGUGGUUUGAUCGGUGCCCAUUUUUGGCCCAGGCAAAGGGCAAAAUUUACAUCAAAAAGAUGUGGAAGGAAGCUCGCGGCAUUCCCACGAACGCCCGUUGUGUCUAUGUCGCGAGUUUCUGGGAGGACAACUUGCUACCACAGGUGCAUUCGGGUACCAACCAUGAGUGGAUUUACAACAUGUUGGACCUGAGAUUAUUUCCCCCAGAAUAAUUCUUUAUUCCAUGGGAAAUUAAUCAGGUCCAUCAUAUUAUAGAUCCACUCAUGGUAUUAAAAACCUUCUAGUGUUGUAGACCAAUAACUAAAGAUAAAUUAGAGUGAUUUAAAAACUCAAUUACUUCUAAAAAUAAAAGUUUGCAUUUGAAAACAGUCAUCCAGACAUGCUUUUUGAUGCACCUUUCAAAACAAUAGAUAGAGUUCUUUAGUUUUUGUAUACAGUUUUUAAAAUAUUUAAAAUCAACAUAAUUAUUAAAAUUUUGACAUCCUCAAAUACAAACUUUUCAUAAUUUCAAAUUACCUAUAAAAAAACUUGUGUUCAUGUGUAUAAAAAACCUUCUAGUGUUCUAGACCAAUAACUAAAGGUAAAUUAGAGCGAUUUAAGAACACAAUUAGUUCUAAAACUACAAUUUUUGCAUUUGAAAACAGUCAUCCAGACAUUGCUUUUCGGUACACCUUUUAGAACAAUACAUAACAUUCUUUAGUUUUUGUAUACAAUUUUUAAAAUAUUUAAAAUCAUAAGAUAUAAUUAUUGAAAUUAUCCAAUUUUCAAUAUUACCCGAAUGCACCUUAUGGUACAAGUAUGUUGUAACAUGUUUUGAUGUAAAUUUUGUCCUGUCCCUCCUCCUCCAUCCUUUAAACCUUCUAGUGUUCUAGACCAAUAACUAAAGGUAAAAAGAGUGAUUUAAAAACUCAAUGACUUCUAAAACUACAAGUCUAGCAUUUGAAAACAGUCAUCCAGACAUGCUUUUUAGUACACCUUUCAAAACAAUAGAGUUCUUUCUCGCUAUCAAACAAGUGAAACUGCAUAAUUGUGCACUGGCAUCAGUUCACAUUUUUAGUUCUAGUGGCCUAGACGGUAUCUGAACUUUUUAUUAAAUAAACAACUAAGAAGUUCAAAUAAAUCUAAAUUGUAUGUACCAAACUUCAUAAAUGGGUAUGGUAAGCGAAGGCUCGAAUAUAUUGUUCCAACAUUGUUUGUUAAUAAUGUUCUGUUUGUUCCUAAAUAUUGUAUUUAUUGUAUGCAAUAAUAACCAGUGCACAGUAAAACUAACUGUGUUUGUGUUGCACUAUGGUUAGGCUUAAUUUCAAUGUGUUGUUUGUUGAAAAAUAAAUAAUAAUAAUAACAAUCUUUAACGAUUUUCCGGAUACGGUAAAGAAUCUUCUAAAAGAUACUAAUAUACUCACGAACGUCAUAAGCGGAAACUAAAGAAUUACUUUUUGGGACAGCCUGUGUAGCGUCGCAGCAGCGGUUUACUCACACUUUUACAAUAUUUAUUUAACUACCCGAUAAUGAUUUUUGUUUGUUAAUUAUUUUAGUUCUUAAAUAUUGUAUUAUGUAAUAAUAACCAGUGCACAGUAAAACCAACUGUGGUUUGUGUUGCAAUAUGGUUAGGCUUAAUCUAAAUGUGUUUUUUUGUAGAAUAAUAAAUAAAUAAAUAAAAAUAAUAUUAUA